rnacentral:rRNA from 1 species
UACGAAUGGAGCAAGCGUUGUUCGGAAUCACUGGGCUUAAAGCGUGCGUAGGCGGAUCUGCAAGUCAGGAGUGAAAUCCCCGGGCUCAACCCGGGAAUUGCUUUUGAAACUGCAAAUCUAGAGACCUGGAGAGGUUAGUGGAAUUCCGAGUGUAGAGGUGAGAUUCGCAGAUAUUCGGAGGAACACCAGUGGCGAAGGCGGCUAACUGGACAUGUACUGACGCUGAGCAACGAAAGCGUGGAGGGCAAACAGG